rnacentral:ncRNA from 1 species
GGAGUAGGAAUCGUGCGUUAAGUACCGGACGGAUGGGAGGUUGCCGCCGGGCGAAGGCAGUGCUUGCGCUGCCGCGAUGCGAUUACCGCAACCGCCUG